CCUACGGGGGGCAGCAGUGGGGAAUAUUGGACAAUGGGGGAAACCCUGAUCCAGCGACGCCGCGUGCGUGAAGAAGUAUUUCGGUACGUAAAGCUCUAUCAGCAGGAAAGAAAAUGACGGUACCUGACUAAGAAGCCCCGGCUAACUACGUGCCAGCAGCCGCGGUAAUACGUAGGGGGCAAGCGUUAUACGGAUUUACUGGGUGUAAAGGGAGCGUAGGCGGCAGCGCAAGUCUGGAGUGAAAUGCCGGGGCUCAACCCCGGAACUGCUCUGGAAACUGUGAAGCUGGAGUGCAGGAGAGGUAAGCGGAAUUCAUGGUGUAGCGGUGAAAUGCGUAGAGAUCAGGAGGAACACCGGCGGCGAAGGCGGCUUACUGGACUGUAACUGACGUUGAGGCUCGAAGGCGUGGGGAGCAAACAGGAUUAGAUACCCGGGUAGUC
rnacentral:rRNA from 1 species